UUGAACGCUGGCGGCAGGCCUAACACAUGCAAGUCGAACGGUAACAGGGAUCAGCUUGCUGAUUCGCUGACGAGUGGCGGACGGGUGAGUAAUGUCUGGGAAACUGCCUGAUGGAGGGGGAUAACUACUGGAAACGGUAGCUAAUACCGCAUAACGUCGCAAGACCAAAGAGGGGGACCUUCGGGCCUCUUGCCAUCGGAUGUGCCCAGAUGGGAUUAGCUAGUAGGUGGGGUAACGGCUCACCUAGGCGACGAUCCCUAGCUGGUCUGAGAGGAUGACCAGCCACACUGGAACUGAGACACGGUCCAGACUCCUACGGGAGGCAGCAGUGGGGAAUAUUGCACAAUGGGCGCAAGCCUGAUGCAGCCAUGCCGCGUGUAUGAAGAAGGCCUUCGGGUUGUAAAGUACUUUCAGCGGGGAGGAGGGGAGUAAAGUUAAUACCUUUGCUCAUUGACGUUACCCGCAGAAGAAGCACCGGCUAACUCCGUG
rnacentral:rRNA from 1 species